ensembl:snRNA Gm23453 predicted gene, 23453
GUGCCACUUCGGCAGCACAUGUACUAAAAUUGGAACGAUACAGAGAAGAUUAGCAUGGUCCCUGCACAAGGAUGAUGUGCAAAUUUGUGAAGCAUUUCAUAUUUUU